AACAUGCAAGUCGAACGGCAGCACGGGAGCAAUCCUGGUGGCGAGUGGCGAACGGGUGAGUAAUAUAUCGGAACGUGCCCAGUCGUGGGGGAUAACGUAGAGAAAUUUACGCUAAUACCGCAUACGAUCUAAGGAUGAAAGCGGGGGACCGUAAGGCCUCGCGCGAUUGGAGCGGCUGAUAUCAGAUUAGGUUGUUGGUGAGGUAAAAGCUCACCAAGCCGACGAUCUGUAGCUGGUUUGAGAGAACGACCAGCCACACUGGGACUGAGACACGGCCCAGACUCCUACGGGAGGCAGCAGUGGGGAAUUUUGGACAAUGGGCGAAAGCCUGAUCCAGCAAUGCCGCGUGCAGGAAGAAGGCCUUCGGGUUGUAAACUGCUUUUGUACGGAACGAAAAGGUCUGCCCUAAUACGGCGGGCCCAUGACGGUACCGUAAGAAUAAGCACCGGCUAACUACGUGCCAGCAGCCGCGGUAAUACGUAGGGUGCGAGCGUUAAUCGGAAUUACUGGGCGUAAAGCGUGCGCAGGCGGUGAUGUAAGACAGUUGUGAAAUCCCCGGGCUCAACCUGGGAAUUGCAUCUGUGACUGCAUCGCUAGAGUACGGUAGAGGGGGAUGGAAUUCCGCGUGUAGCAGUGAAAUGCGUAGAUAUGCGGAGGAACACCGAUGGCGAAGGCAAUCCCCUGGACCUGUACUGACGCUCAUGCACGAAAGCGUGGGGAGCAAACA
rnacentral:rRNA from 1 species